AGAUGGGGAACUGGGGUGGGAAGAUUGCGUGGGCCAAGGAUCACCUUGGAACUCUGGAGCCUGGCAGGAGCGGCCACGGAUCGGAGGGGCUGGCGGGCCCGGACGCGCCGCAGGAGAGCGGCGUGGGGUGUGAAGGGCUCAGCUAGGGGUGCAGAGGAAAGAAGGGGGAGCCAGGCAUUCAUCCCGGUCACUUUUGGUUUCAGGACGUGGCGGCUGGUGGACACGGGGGAGCUGGAGAGGGGUCCGCCGGGCCUGGGCCGAGGAGUAGCUGGCAGCCACGGCAGCUGAGGACAGCGGUCUGCCGGGCAGGUGAGUCCCCUUCCCCUCACGGCCUCGCCGCCCCGGCCUUCCGCAACCAGGAGGCUCCCGGGAGCGAGGACCCGUGAGGAGAAGCGGCCGCCAGCCCGGCAGAGCGGCAGGAGGAAGGCAGACGGUAGCACAGGUGACAUCGUCUCGGGGGGAGCCGAGACCGCGCAGGCUGGGGGGCCGCGGCCCGCCCAGGUGCAGAGCGUGUUUCCAGGGGGCAGAGCGAGAGGAGGGGCUGCCGGCGAGGGAGAGGACAGAGGGCCCGCAGGAGCCCACCACCUGCACGGACAUUCCAGGCCCGGUCACUUCGGACAGGAUGAGCAGGGGGCUCACGCAGCAGGGUCCCCAGCCGCUACCACACCCACUGUAACUCACUCAGGAGCAGGCACAGGAGCGGCUCCGGCCGGCGGGCGUCACGGCCAGGCCGGAGCCUCGAGGGCAGGAGAACGAGAAGAGGGCGCAGUGCAGAGGGGCGUCAUCAGAGGGAAUGGCAGCACAGGUGUGAGCUCCAGAGAUUUCGGCAGCAAGGAGGCUGCGGGGCCCCGCCGUGGGCGCCGUUUCCACGUGGCACUGCGACCCGGGGGUGGCACGGGGAGGCCACGGCGAUUUUGCGACACCGUGCAUCUCCGUGCGGCCCCUGGGACGGCGUGAUAGACAGUUCAGCAUCCGGGGGAGCCAAGGACACAGGCAGGACCAGACUAGGAGAGGCGGGCGGGGCGGCGUGUGUGCGAGGGGGGGAGGGAGAGCAGGGCGCGAGCAGGGGCGCGGCACAGCGGCCUGGCAGCGAGCGAGGCGGGCGCUGGCUCCGGAGCCCGUGGCCAAGGCGGGCUUGCGGGCGGUGACGGAGCAGGGAUCGGUGCCUCCGCGUUCGGAUCGGAGACCAGCCAGGUCUCAGCGGGGUGACAACGUGCCUGCCAGCCACGGAGGCCGGGCACCAGGAGGUGUGCUGAGAGCGACAUGACAUGGUCCGGUGUGACGGCGAGAAGGGAACGGAGCCCCGGCCUUCCUGAACAUCUCUGGCUGGCGCCCUGGGAGCGCAGCGCCCAGCUGGUCUCUGUCCUUUGCUUUCCGGAGGAGCCCACACAACUCUGGCCUCGGGACCUCAGAACCCUCAAGAUGACAAGAAAUGGUGCUACCCAGCUCAUGCCUGGGCCUCGGACCCCGGACUUCUUCAAGUCCUUCUAGCUCUGACUCAAGAAUAUGCUGCACUUGGAACCACUACCCACCCGUCUCAGGAACCGGCUGCGAAGGUAGAGCAAAGGACUGAGAUCGGCGACACCAGCACCACCGGACGCGAGCAGCUCCCGUGGCAGCACCUGCCCCCGCGGCGAUACCAUCUUGGCCGCGCCCCAGCGAGGGCUGGAGACCACCCCAGCCGCCCCGCCCAGCACCACCACCCUCCUCUCCUCCUUCUUUUCAGACUUUCCUGUCUCCUUUCCCUCCUUUCCUUCUUUCUCUGUCCCUGGCUCAGCAGGCUCAGCGUCCGGGACUCCGCGUCCCCCCCAUCCCCCUGAUUCAAUUUGCACUAUAAGUCGUUUGCACUGGUUUGGGGUCCCGGACCGCCCCGAGUCUCUGAGCGUGUGCGUGAGCGUGUGCGUGAGCGUGUGCAUGAGCCACUGCCGAGUGUGCCGGCCUCCUCGGGCCGGUGCCGCCCCAGCGCCCCCGCCCUCCGUCACUGGGGGUGCUGGGUGCGGCAGAGUGCGUGGGGCCCUGCCCCCCCCCCGCCUAGUCUGGACGCUCCGCCCACCAGGAGCACCUAGCACUGCAUUGUGCACCAUCCUGCCUGUGUCCCUCCUCACCAGGCUUCACCAGAAGCCUGGCAUCAUCAAUAAAUCCGUUCCAGCA